AAACCAACAGGGAUUGCCCUAGUAACGGCGAGUGAAGCGGCAACAGCUCAAAUUUGAAAUCUGGCUCUUUCAGAGUCCGAGUUGUAAUUUGCAGAGGGCGCUUUGGUGUUGGCAGCGGUCCAAGUUCCUUGGAACAGGACGUCACAGAGGGUGAGAAUCCCGUACGUGGUCNCUAGCCUUCGCCGUGUAAAGCCCCUUCGACGAGUCGAGUUGUUUGGGAAUGCAGCUCUAAAUGGGAGGUAAAUUUCUUCUAAAGCUAAAUACUGGCCAGAGACCGAUAGCGCACAAGUAGAGUGAUCGAAAGAUGAAAAGCACUUUGGAAAGAGAGUCAAAUAGCACGUGAAAUUGUUGAAAGGGAAGCGCUUGCAGCCAGACUUGCCUGUAGUUGCUUAUCCGGACUUUUGUCCGGUGCACUCUUCUGCGGACAGGCCAGCAUCAGUUUGGGCGGUUGGAUAAAGGUCUCUGUCAUGUACCUCUCUUCGGGGAGAACUUAUAGGGGAGACGACAUGCNACCAGCCUGGACUGAGGUCCGCGCAUCUGCUAGGAUGCUGGCGUAAUGGCUGUAAGCCGC
rnacentral:rRNA from 1 species